UUGGCAAAAAGUAGUUCAAUGUUUACAUUCUGUUACCACCUUGAAGUGUCUUUCUUGAAGCAUUUAAUACAACACUCAUCAGAAUGUGGUGAUCUGUCUGUGCUUCAACCUGUGUACUAUAAUAUAACUGUGUAUGAUAUUAUUUAAAGCAAUUAAUAUUAAAAAAUGUCCUCAAACAAAGAGAGUAAGACUGCAUAUCUUCUGGCAGGCACUGCAGUCGCAGGAGUGGCUGCUGGUUUUCUAUUUAGAAAAUUAUUCGCUAACACAUCAACUGUACAAGUUCAAACUUUUGAGUCCAAAACUUCUAACAAUGAGAAAGUAAUAAAAUAUUCCCAGGACGAUAACAUUUAUGACUUACAUUUACCCAC